CCUACGGGAGGCAGCAGUGAGGAAUAUUGGUCAAUGGACGAGAGUCUGAACCAGCCAAGUAGCGUGAAGGAUGACUGCCCUAUGGGUUGUAAACUUCUUUUAUAAAGGAAUAAAACGAGGCACGUGUGCCUUUUUGCAUGUACUUUAUGAAUAAGGAUCGGCUAACUCCGUGCCAGCAGCCGCGGUAAUACGGAGGAUCCGAGCGUUAACCGGAUUUAUUGGGUUUAAAGGGAGCGUAGAUGGGUUGUUAAGUCAGUUGUGAAAGUUUGCGGCUCAACCGUAAAAUUGCAAUUGAUACUGGCAGUCUAGAGUACAGUAGAGGUAGGCGGAAUUCGUGGUGUAGCGGUGAAAUGCUUAGAGAUCACGAAGAACCCCGAUGGCGAAGGCAGCUUACUAAACUGUGACUGACAUUGAUGCUCGAAAGUGUGGGUAUCAAACAGGAUUAGAUACCCCUGUAGUC
rnacentral:rRNA from 1 species